UAAAAAAAAAACUGGUCCAUUUCCAUUUUAUUAAGUUCCAGUUAUAAUUUUUAAUGUUUUAAAUCUUGGUUGUAGCCUUCAAAAACGUGAAAUCAUUUUACUGUUAUGUUUGGCCAUUUACUUUUUCGCUUUUACUACAUCCUAGAAUUGUUCAUUAAUUGUGAGGUUUUUAUGGAAUUUGCAACAUCAAGUUAAACCGAGGUUCUUUGGAAGUUAAAAUGUCAAGCAGAUUUUUAUGUUACGGUGACUACAUUUUGUAAGUUACAAAUAUAGUUCGCCAAGACAGCAUAACGGUUUCUAAACAACUGCGCAUUAAUACCACAAUGUUGUAUUUUCAUGUGUCAAGUUCGCAACGCGCAUUAAUCCCAAAGGCUGAAAAGCCAGCAGCGAUGAGUGCUCCGCCUCCGCGCUGACUAGCGUUGACACAGAAAAUGACUCUCAGGGGGUUAUUGAUGGAGGAGCUCCUUAAAAAGUUGAUGGAAGAAGGCAUUGAUGUGUCAGACGACGAGGCGCAAAGGUUUAGAGAUAACGAUGUACAACAUUGAAGGUACAGUUGAAGGUCCAGUGUCCCAAGCAAACCAGAGUUCUAUACCUUCUUGCCUGCAGUUAUUUCCAUUCCAAAAUUCCCACAAGAUGUCCAGAGUCGCUUGGAUCUCAAAGAACCAGUCCAGAAAGAACAGAAGUACCGAAACAAAAUAAUUGGGACUCUUUAUGAAAUGCUGUCACAGCACACAAUGUACCCAACCCACUCAGACUACAUCCAGGUCAUCAAAGCCCUGAUUGUGAAGUAUCCUUUCUUAAGAGAUGUACACGGAAAUGGUUAUGACACCUGGCACAGCCAACUCAAGAGAAAGUUCAAAGCAGAACGGGCUCCCCUAAUCAGCAACGAAGAAGUGAACCGGGUUAAAGAAAAGUUUGGACGCACGCAGAAACAUCGGACCACAGAGGAAUCCAGCAGCUCCUGUCUGAAGAGACUGAAGCCCUCUCUCGUAAAUCCUCACACCCUCAGCCUCUAAGAGCUAAGGAUUCGUGCUUUGUGGGGGAAGAUGCAGCCUCCGUUGAUGCUCAUAUCAAGGUGCUAAAUGAUCAUCACAGGAUGCUACAUCCUGACACAGCACUGGUGAAAGACCGCAUGACAAAAACCUUUGCAUGGAGACGUCAAGAGGUAGCUGAAGGAAUGUGUACUGUGGACCUAUUAAAGAGAUAUCCAUUCCUGGGGACAUCUGCAGGGUUGUGUGAUGAGGUUGAUUUAAUGCAUCCCUGCCAAGACAACAUCUGUUGCCGCUUUAGCGAGAACUUCACUGCUGUUCUUCAAAAUGUUCUUCAAAUGACCAAGGAUUUGCCACUGAAGAAGGUCUACAUGGAGGCAAGAGAGAAUGCACUGGCUGAAGACAUUACAGGAAUUGACUUCAAGGGGGCACUUCUCCUCUUGCCAUCCAUCUUCAAGGAGAAGAUAGAAGAUUUCAUCAUCCUUGGAGAGGUAAAUGCAUGAUGCAAUGCAUAGCCUUUGGCCACAAGUUUCAUUCUCGGUGUUUUGUUGGCAUGGAGCUGAAUUCAGCUGCGGUUCAGCAUCACAGCUAAGCUAAUGUAGGGGAAACACUGCUGUUAAUCCACAGACUUACAGAAUGCUCUGGAAAUGAACAAAAGUUUUACAGAUGUGCAUUUUCAGGAUAAAGUGCUUCAGCGUGUGUCUGCUAUAUCUGUCAGCAGUGUCAAAUAUGAACUUGAGGAUGUUUUUGUAGUUGGCCAUGUACACACUGAAGCCAUACCUAUAUUCUUUAAAAUCAAGUAUAUUUUGAAUGUUGAUACUUGUUGGGUAUUGUGUGGGAAACUGUUACUUCCUUGCACUUAUGAAUGUCAUUUCCAUGCUUACCAAGUGGCAGUUGACAAUGACUGGAUCCUGUUCAAUCCAGGAAAUGAAUUAGACUUUCAAGCUCUAGACACCUAUUUAGUUGAUGAUAGGCUGUUUGUGUCCUUGAGGUAUUCUGUGUGACGUUGCAAGCACAUUUUCCACUUUGUCUAUAUAUAUGACAUAUAUAUAUUCUGGCUUGUUGAAGUAGAGCAAAACAUUUGUGUGGACAGUUUUUUAAAUACAUGCCAUCUCUGAUCCGUCAAAAACAUUGUGUUCAGGUGUUUAAUGUCUUUAUGUGAUUGUUUACUUUUUUUAAAUGAAUGUAUUUUUCUUGACAUGUCCUAUGGCAAUAUACGAAUGUAAUCAAGGAUGUAUUCCUGUGGUUGUUUAAAUGCUUUGAUGUGAUUCUAUUAUCGAAAAUAAAUGGUUAAAUAACCAAAUAUUUUGGA